GACGAACGCUGGCGGCGUGCCUAAUACAUGCAAGUAGAACGCUGAAGGAAGGAGCUUGCUCUUUCUGGAUGAGUUGCGAACGGGUGAGUAACGCGUAGGUAACCUGCCUGGUAGCGGGGGAUAACUAUUGGAAACGAUAGCUAAUACCGCAUAAAAUUGAUUAUUGCAUGAUAGUCAAUUAAAAGGUGCAACUGCACCACUACCAGAUGGACCUGCGUUGUAUUAGCUAGUUGGUGGGGUAACGGCUCACCAAGGCGACGAUACAUAGCCGACCUGAGAGGGUGAUCGGCCACACUGGGACUGAGACACGGCCCAGACUCCUACGGGAGGCAGCAGUAGGGAAUCUUCGGCAAUGGACGGAGGGCUGACCGAGCAACGCCGCGUGAGGGAAGAAGGGUUUCGGAUCGUAAAGCUCUGUUGUAAGAGAAGAACGAGUGUGAGAGUGGAAAGUUCACACUGUGACGGUAGCUUAACAGAAAGGGACGGCUAACUACGUG
rnacentral:rRNA from 1 species